rnacentral:rRNA from 1 species
UGGGGAAUAUUGGACAAUGGGCGAAAGCCUGAUCCAGCCAUGCCGCAUGAGUGAAGAAGGCCUUUGGGUUGUAAAGCUCUUUUAGUGAGGAAGAUAAUGACGGUACUCACAGAAGAAGUCCUGGCUAACUCCGUGCCAGCAGCCGCGGUAAUACGGAGAGGGCUAGCGUUAUUCGGAAUUAUUGGGCGUAAAGGGCGCGUAGGUUGGUUAAUAAGUUAAAAGUGAAAUCCCGAGGCUUAACCAUGGAAUUGCUUUUAAAACUAUUAAUCUAGAGAUUGAAAGAGGAUAGAGGAAUUCCUGAUGUAGAGGUAAAAUUCGUAAAUAUUAGGAGGAACACCAGUGGCGAAGGCGUCUAUCUGGUUCAAAUCUGACGCUGAAGCGCGAAGGCGUGGGGAGCAAACA